GGACCAAACUGAAUGAAAUUUCCAAAGCCGGCAGCCAAUAGCUCUCCGCAGUCAGCCCCAUCACUACAGAAACCGUAUCUCCAUCCCCAGCCUCCUGCGAGGAGCGUCGCAUCCCCGCGCGAAGCGCAGCGGCGGUGGCAGAGCCCGGCCCGGGGCCUGUGGUGCUGAACAGAUGCCUUGUUUCUACCUUCAUGUCAGAUCCUCAGAAGAGAUCCGAUAGUGCUUUGUCUUCUCAAAUCUGAAUUCUGGCUGUGAUAUCGGGCUUAUCAACCACUUCUAUGCUCUGCUGUUUCAAGUGGUAAAGGAAUAUAUACUCUCUGAUUUCAAUAUACUGUCUAGCAGACAACAGUAGGCCUGCUGUCUGUCUGUUCUUAUAAAGUGUUUUUUUAUGUGGUGAGAAGGACAGUUCCUUUAGCAUUACUUAUGAAGAUAUGCUUUGGGUUUGGAUGUUAUACAUCUAAGCACAGAUGAAAUUCACUGACUUUAAAUGUUUUAAGCAAUGCAAUGGAUACAUUAAACAGUUAACUUAUUUGUCAGUGAAAUCAUUAUUUUUAUAUUACUUAAUUAAAUGUUUUGCCUUCUUAUUUUAAGUGACUCUAGCAGCAGGUGUUCAUGCAAGUGAAUUUUACUGCUUUUGUUAUUUUAAUAAUGCACCCAGAAUGUGCAACCAAUCGUAUUGCCUGACUGAGAAACAUUUUGACACAUUUAGAAAAGAUGUCAUCUUGCACUGCCAUCUGUCCCAAAUUUUGCAGGACAGUCUUUAUUUUGAUGACUGUGUCAUGCAUUUAACAAGAUACUUUUGUGGGACAUUAAAGUAUGCACUAGUUAAUCUGAAUCUGAAUAAUCUGAAUAAUGAUCUCCCACCUGUUGUGAUAUCAUGAGGCAAUUUAUUUCAGGUUCCCAAAGGAUCAUGUCUAAUGUUUACAACUACUGUUUGCAACUAUGACCCGAAUAUUCUCAAACACAGCAAUGAAGUUGAACUUUUCACAGACUCUACACAAGUAUAUGAUCAAGGGAUUUAAGUAAAAGGCAUUUGGUCAGAACAGUGAAAUGUACUUUUCUCAUCUUACAACUUUCAAAAAGCUAAAUGUACAAUUUGGAGCUAUGACUUAUUUGGGAGGGCAUCUGCAGCAAUCCACUGCAUAUUUAUGACAGCAAGCAAGAGUCCAGGAGCAAUCAUUCAGAGAGAAGAAUGCCACUUGCUAAGUAACACCAUUGCUUCUUACAAGGAGGCAUUGUAUUCUAGUAUUAACCCAACUUGACUCUACUUGUAAACAGUGAAAUCUAAAGAAAUCACAGUACACAGCAGUCUGACUGAAGACAGGCCAAACUCUGCUGGGUUCCAUCCCAUGGAACCUUUUUUGUGUCACUCAAACUGAGGCAUGAUUUGGUCUCCCAUGUCCAAUCACUGUAAAAUUUCUACAAGUUCAUUUCUAAUUCAGAUAUAGCAUGUUGCAUACUGAUGCUCAAAUUAAUAUCAAGAAAGUAUAGCUGUUUGAAAAAAAAAAGAAAAUAAGAAGUACCUCUCAAAUUUUGGUGGGUAUUUUUUGGUUAGUUAUUCAUUCCAAACAAUUCAUAUUCAAAAUGCAAACUUGAAGCAGGACAAGAGAGACUUUCUACAAUUGCAUAAACAGCAAUUGACUCUUUGUCCCUCCCUGUUGUCUGCUUUGUCUUUUUCCUCAAAUAUUUAUAAAGCAAAUGGACUUCCUUUUUAAGCAAGGGUGAGCCAGUAUAGUCUUAAUACACUUUAUGCUGUUGGAACGGGAUGUUUCAGUAGCUUAAUUGUGUUUACUGAAUUUCAAGAAAGAAAUUUUUUCCUAUGUGUCUUAUCUUCUUACAGUUUGCUGAUAAAAAUUAAAAAGGUUGAUCUGUAACUGUUUUUACAGAAAAUUACAAAGAUUAACAAAAAUACUAACCAGAAAAUAUGCAUAUAUAUUUUCAAAUUCAAAAUUUUUCACUUAUAGUAAAAUGAAGUGCUCACUGUACUGCUGUGUAUGUUACAUGCCACAUAAAACAGAAAUAUACUGUAGAGUCCCGCCUGCGUGGCCAGUAUGACCAUUUCAGAGUAGUGUAUUGUGAGAACUAGUACUCAUUAGAGCUUCCCAAAGAUACAGUGUUUGUCAUGAUAUGUGCCUGCCUUUUUAAUUACAUCCUAAUUUCAUUCUCCUUAGCACUUUUUACUAAAAAUUUAGUGUUAUUUUCACCUUCUCAAAAAGGUUCAAACCCAAAAUAUUGUAGACAUAGAUAAUUGUACAGACAGAUCACCUAUUUAGGUCUUUUUUAGAGCACAAUAAUUUGUAGUUACAUGACUUCUGAGAUGCAACCUUAAAGUUCGUGGCAAGGGUACAGGCUUUAAUAGAGCCAGUGUUUCAGUCUUGGAAGAAUAGAAGCAGAUGCUGGGGUCUAGACUUACCUGUGUAAAGUCAAAGCUAGAAAAUAACUUUAUCAUUAUCUACAGAGAUCUUCCAUAUCAUUUAGCUAAACUGCUUCAUCAGAUGUUCUUUCUUUCUUUGCUUUAUUUUGUUUGUUUGUGGUUAUUUUUAAUAAAGCCAUCUAAUUACUGUUGUUCUAGAGAAUGUUAGUUUUCCAUUAUAAAAAAAAAAAAGGAAAUAUUUCACAUGGUGAAAAUUCUACAUAAUCUGUGUAAAUUUUGCCAGCAUAUAAUUAAUCUCACUGUAAAAAUAUUGUUCCUAACUUGCAGCCUUACAAAAUCAAACUUUACUUUGGCUUUGUAUAUUAAAGUGUUUUUUAGUAUUA